rnacentral:misc_RNA from 1 species
CAUUGAGAGUCUGGUUGUUGGUGGAUGGCCGAGGCACAUGCCGCUGCUGCUGGUGUUGCUGGGCUGAGGAACUGCCAACGUGAUGUAAGGCAGGCUGAUGGGAGGAGAAUUGUGGAGUCAAUCCUCGGUUGAAGGGGUUUCCAUUGACAGCUGGAAUUUGUCCAGUUGCUAUCCUAAGCCGUUGCACCUCUUCCCUCAAUGCUUCAUUCAGAGCAUCUCUAAGUUGUGCUUG